GCCCGGCUAGCUCAAUUGGCAGAGCAUUCGCCUUGUAAGCGAAAGGUUAGGGGUUCAAGUCCCCUGCUGGGCUCCA
rnacentral:tRNA from 1 species